UUCUAAAGUGGCAGAAUAGUGCAAUAGAUUUAAGACCUAUAUAUAAAGAUUUCUUUCUUUAGA
rnacentral:tRNA from 1 species